rnacentral:rRNA from 1 species
GACGAACGCUGGCGGCGUGCUUAACACAUGCAAGUCGAACGGAAAGGCCCUGCUUUUGUGGGGUGCUCGAGUGGCGAACGGGUGAGUAACACGUGAGUAACCUGCCCUUGACUUUGGGAUAACUUCAGGAAACUGGGGCUAAUACCGGAUAGGAGCUCCUGCUGCAUGGUGGGGGUUGGAAAGUUUCGGUGGUUGGGGAUGGACUCGCGGCUUAUCAGCUUGUUGGUUGGGUAGUGGCUUACCAAGGCUUUGACGGGUAGCCGGCCUGAGAGGGUGACCGGCCACAGUGGGACUGAGAUACGGCCCAGACUCCUACGGGAGGCAGCAGUGGGGAAUAUUGCACAAUGGGCGGAAGCCUGAUGCAGCAACGCCGCGUGCGGGAUGACGGCCUUCGGGUUGUAAACCGCUUUCGCCUGUGACGAAGCGUGAGUGACGGUAAUGGGUAAAGAAGCACCGGCUAACUACGUG